rnacentral:lncRNA from 1 species
AAGAUGCUAACUGCUGGGGGCAGCCACGUGCCCAGCGGAAAGACACUCAGUGUUCCAGGUACUCACCGGCCGGGGACCACUCGGGGCUACCAGGGAAUCUGCUGUUUGUCUUCCUGAUUAAAAAAAAUAACAGGCUCAAUGAGCUCAUGAUUUUUAUCUGUGGUCUUCCUCUGCUUCCUGCCUGGAACGAGGAUGAAUGCCUGAAGGCACCACAGCUGUCCUUUGAUCCUGAGAAGGAGGGCAGAGGGAAGGUGGCGGAAGUUCUCGAUGACUCACGGGCUCGCAGCCCCAUCCCCCUGCCGCCGCCGCCGCCUCUCACCCGUUGGUUGGGUUUCUGCUAUUUGCAGCCAGAUGCCCUCCUAAAAGACCGAGUGGCUCCAUCUGCUGAGAGUUGGCUGAAACUGAACAGAAGUCACCCCAGACAUGGGCACCGUGCCCUGCGGAUCAGCACACGCCUGACGAGCACCCACUGACUCUCCUCGUUUAGGCUCGACACCUGGUUCCUGCAGGCGCUGGGGUUUGCCGCCCGCACUGCAUGGCAGGGUCCCCUCGUAGACGAGCAGUUCC